CCUUGUCUUAGAUAACGCGACUGGAAAAAAGAAGGAAAAUCGGAUUACCAGAAUUUCGAAAUUCCUAUCGACUAUGGCGGGUGUUCUAACGGUCGCCGCGUCAUCAGCCGCCGUCUGUCGGCGCUCGUUUCCGGCGAAGAAAUCUCUCUCUUCUUCUACUUCAUCUUCGAAAUGCUACUCGAUCGGGGGCUGGGAUCCCCUGCUUCGCAGGCCCACGGUGCUCCGCCCGAGAAAGCUCGUGAUUCGAGCUGCCCGGACCGAGUCCAAAGGGGUUUCUCUUGGUUUCAGAGCACCAGAUUUCGAGCUUCUGGAACCUCUCACUGGGAAAGUGUGGAAACUGGACGACUUCGACUCCUACCCUGCAUUGCUGGUAAUGUUCAUCUGCAACCAUUGCCCUUUUGUCAAACACUUGAAGAAAGAUAUUGUAAAGCUCUCAAACUUCUAUAUGAAGAAAGGACUUGCGGUGGUUGCAAUUUCUUCAAACUCUGUUACUACUCAUCCACAGGAUGGACCAGAUGUCAUGGCUAAGGAAGCUAAGAUAUUUAAGUAUCCUUUUCCAUAUCUCUAUGAUGAGUCCCAAGAUGUCGCAAGAAACUUUGGAGCUGUUUGUACACCAGAGUUUUUCUUGUUUAAAAAGGAUGGUCGUAGGCCAUUUGAGUUAGUAUAUCAUGGUCAGUUUGAUGAUUCGCGGCCGAGUAAUAAUAUGCGCAUCACUGGAAGGGACUUGAGCUUAGCGAUAGACAGUGUGUUAAGUGGACAACCAGUAUCAUCCAUUCAAAAGCCUAGUGUUGGAUGCAGUAUAAAGUGGAAGCCUGAAGUUGAGCCAUAAAAACAUGCAUUUAAAUAGACCUUCAAAUUGCCAUUGCCAGCGUUGCUAAGAUUAUAGUCUGAUGGCUGACUACCAUCUAAUUACAUAGCAGGCUGAAUCCCUUGUUUUUUGUUCGUUUGAUCAUCUUCACAUCUUCGGGAUUUCAUUUCCAGAAUUCAACUACAAAAUGGCCAGGGGAUGAUGGUCCCUUGCCUCCCGUAAUGCUACUUUCAUAGGGGUACUUCCAAACAAGACCUUCUCGUCGUUGUGUCUUUUGUUACAAUCCCUGCUAGUUUACAUACGUUGCAUGGAAGUGAAAUAAGGUACUCUGUUUUCAGGUCCCAGUUAAGGAGACUCAAACUGCUUGCCAGCAAAAUUUAAACACUUUUUUGUUCAGUUUGGCUUGAACUUAGUUUUGUUUACCUUUUACUUUAUCUGAUGCGUGCUGCUUCAUAGAGCAACUGUUUAUUUAUUUUUUAAUAUACAUCCAUGAUUUUAAUUUGAUUGGUCUUGUUUGCUACA